AUGAGCUUUAGUAAGAGUUGGAUUACAGGGUUGCAUAAAUUUUUCUCAGUUCCGAAUUCGGGUUUCAAAACAGUAGUUGAACGAAGGCAAAGUGUCAAGGAUAAAACGACUGCAAGAAAAGUUGUUGCUUCCUUGAAGGAACUCAAACAAAGUGAAGGGACCACCAUUGCCAAGACUACCACAAAGACAAGUAAGAAACCACCUCAUACUCCAAAGAAACGCAGACCAGCUCAACCACAAACCGUCCAAAUUGAAUCAGGGUCUGAAGACGUGUCUCCAGAUUGUUCAAGACCUGCUCCCAAGAAAAAGAAAUAA